GGGGAACUAGGAUCCUGCAUGCCACACGGCUCAGCCAAAGAAAAAAGGGAUAGUAAAAUAUCAAGUGGUUCUUAAUGUAGCUGAUUCACCAAACCUCUUUUAAAUUUAAGUGUGAAAUAUUUGCUAAUGAUUGAUUCCAGUCACUCCUUUAGGAUUAAAGUUGAUUCGAAAGAUGCUAUGGGGCUUUGGUAAACUGGAGGUCAUGUCAAUAAAUUGUCUGCAUCCUCUCUUUGUACUGCACUUGACCUGAGGUUGUUAGGCCACCAGCUGGAGUUUGGAAAUAUUUUCUCUCUUUAUGAGAACUUUUAUUUUCCUGAGGUGAGCCAGACCCACCAGUCUUGGCACACUGUAGCUAAAGAAUCUCGGUGUUGGGUAACUGAGGUGCUCUUCAGCCUUGCUCCCCAAAGUUGGUCUGUGGACCAGCAGCAUGGGCACCACCAAAUAGAAAUGAACAGGCUUAGGAUGCAUCCCAGAUGUGUCAGAUGGGAAUCUGCAUUUUUAACAGGAUCCCAGGUGAAUCUGACAUACAUUAGAGUUUGAGCAGCAGUGUUCUACAAUAUCCCAUCUAGCAGAAGUCAACACAGCCUCAGCUUGAACAGCUGCUGGGACUGACCACUCACUUCCUCUCGAGGCACUCCCUUCUGUUGGACAGCUCUCAUGUUCAGAAAGUUUUACCUUCUAUCAAGUCAAAAUCUGCCUGUAGGUAUCACCCACUCAGUGCUGCCACACAGAAGCCCAUAUAGUAGAUGCUUGGGAGUGUCAUCAUUUUCUCUCUAAUUUGUUAUGCAGAAGCCUUGAUCCAGAGGCUGGAUGGGCAGUGAGUGGGGCCACACAAGGUCAGCUCCCAGUCACCUGGCAAAGGCCCGCGGGUCCUGAGAUGUCUUCUAAAGAGCAGAACCCUUGCAGUUCUGUCUCUUCUCCCCGAGUCCAAGGGCGCUGGUUUAAGAGAUUCCAGUUUGGAGAACUUGAAAAGGUUUUCCAAAAGGAUGAGAGUAUAGAAGUGAUGGCUGGGAUGAAAGCUGGUCCUGCAGGCCGUGCUAAUGGAUGAGAAUUUACAGCGGAGAUGAACAGGAAGGGAUGGUGUGGUGAGGCAGUGUUACCUCUUGCUAGCUGUGUGACAUUGGGGAAUGCACUAAACCCCUCUGAGCAUCCGCUUCCUGGGCUUUAAAAGAAAAUGGGAUGAUAAACCCUGUCCUGCCUGUCUCCAGGGUUUCUGUGGGACUCAUUGAAAAUAAUGUCAGUGAGCACACUUAAUAAUGAGGGAAAUGGUCCGAGGAUGAAAGAGAAGGUCCAACGGGACAGUAGGUGAAUCCAGGAGGCAGGUCUACCACUAACUUGCUGGCUGACCUCAGGGGAGGCCCUCACCCUCUCUGGGCCUUCCUGUGAAACAAGUGGGUCACACACUAAAGAUCUGAGUGCUCUUCUAGAAGGCCCUGGAGUUGCUGUGACUCAUCACUAUUAUUGCACGUUACCUGGAGGGUUUCUCCAAGGAUGGCUCUUCAAAUACUCAUUUAGGGAGACUUCUUAGAGCUUGGAUUUGAAUCCUCUCUGGGAUAAAUAAUGCCAGACAUUCUUCCAGUGAAGGCCUGGCCUGUGCUAUAGGAUCCUUACUUAAAAGACAGAUCCGCUUGGCCAUGACUGCACCUUAUUUCCAUGUCAGCAUGUGGGACCUAAGCUGGUGAGUGAAGAGUGAUAGUUUCAUUUCUACCACUGUGUCAGGACACACCAUCCUGUUUCUGGAAGCAAGCUCUGCCCCAUGAGAUAUCAGAACUCAUCGAUCGCAUACUUAGCUGGAGAGUAUCAUGUGCACGUUUUUCCUGGGGAACAGUCUCACUUGAUACGUCACAUAUUACCAAGGAGUUACGCACGGGAAAAUGGCAUACCUGAUACUUUUAUGAGCCUGCUCUGCCAGAGGAGGUUCCCAGUCAGAAUAAGUGGAACUGGCUUUUGGUACAGCAGCCCUUCCAUAGAUGCUUGCCAGCUGAGAGCAAGGGGACCAACGUGUGUGGUUACAGAGGGACAUAACUGUUCCUUAAGGUAGCCCUUCUGUGUCUCUUCCCUGCCAAUCUGGGGUCCCUGUGUUGUUCAUUCUCACCUCACUGCAGCCAUGUUCCCAACUGCUCAUUUCAUUGCCUGGAACCUUGCUUCUAACUCUGUACAUUGCAUUUUCUCCUCUGCACCCACCGUGUUGUCUUGGAAACUCGGUGGCCAUAGGCCACGAGUAUCCGGUGUCAUUGAAUGUGAUGGUGUGGUAUGUGUAUUUGCUCACACUUUUAUUUUGAAUCCUUUCCAAUGUGACAUCUGCUAAAAUGUCUCCCUUAUAAUUUGCUUGGUGAUCACAGCCUUCUCAUCAUUCAUUGAGAGCAGGACCUGAUCUCACAGAAUCUGAAAAGAGCUAUGUGGUAAGAUGCCUGUUGAAUAAGACUGUAGCUUUUCUAAAGAGAAUUCUUACUGAAGAGAAUUCUUACUGAUUUGUAGAGUCUAGACUGGAGUAAUGCCUGGUUAACUCACAGAGCCAUUAUUUACAAGAAUUAUAUGGCUAUUGCAGUAGAGAGAGAUGUUAGGCCACCCUCUCCCCUCAAAAAAAAAAAAAAGCAGAGGAAUUUAGAGACCAUAUUUCUACUCUGCCUACAUGUGGGAUUAAAUUAAUAUAUUAGUGCAUGAUUGGGGAUACAUACUUGCAUUUCUAUCCUGAAAUUAUUCCAUUUGUAACAGUUACUCACUAAUUACGGGCUUUUAUGCUGCUGCCUUUUUUUUUUUUUUAAAUAUUCAUACUAAAUCCCAAAUUCUUCUGUAUCUUACCUGUUUUUUCCAUGCUUACACCUGGAUUCCUCCUGCACUCCACUACUGGAAUAUCUAUUUUUUUAACCUGGAUCUUCAACUCUGUUGUUUCCCUGGACUUAUGUGCUUCGUCUGGAAUGUUACAUCUCUUCCUCUCUUUCUUUUUUUUUGUCCCCAUGUUGACUGUUUUAUGGGGGUUUCUGGAUAUCUCGGGGCCACCACAGGAAGCAGUUUGCAAUGAGAUCAUAAACAUUGCCGAAAAAUCUGUUCAUUACUGCAGCACUGUUUCUCAUCCCCUUGACUUUCAUCACAAGGUAUCCCCUUCUGACAAUAAAUCAUCUCUAAUCAUUUCUCAGCAACCUCAAGCCCAGCAGCGAAGAGUCACCCCAGACAGGAGUCAAACCUCCCAGGAUUUAUUUAGCUACCAAGCAUUGUAUAGCUAUAUACCACAGAAUGCUGAUGAAUUGGAACUCCGGGAUGGAGACAUUGUUGAUGUCAUGGAAAAGUGUGACGAUGGAUGGUUUGUUGGUACUUCAAGAAGGACAAGGCAGUUUGGUACUUUCCCAGGCAACUAUGUAAAGCCUUUGUAUCUAUAAGAAGACUGAAAACCACAGAGAUGAUUUUUAUUGGAGGAUGAAGCAUAAUUCAUGAAUUUGUCUCUUUAUUUAAACAUUGAGUCAGUAGGAAAACUAAUGCAGUGGAUAAAGAAAGAAGAAAAAGAGAGGACAGAGAAGUGUUGCAUUUACUUACUGUCUAAGCUUACUGCGUGUAUCAGGGCUGAACCACGCAGAAAAGGAAUGAAGCAAGUUGGUAUUUACUUAGCUGCUUCUGGGAGCCACUCCAGCCCUGCCCUCCCUGCCACCCCACCCCCGCCCCACCUUGAGUAAUCUGACCUGCAGCAUGGUCCAGGAGCAGUUAGGCCAGAAAUGCUUCUUGCUGCUUCAGGCUUGACCGGCUUUGGCUCAAAAGGUCAUUUAGCCUGCAGGAGCCCUCGGAGCAACAGGCAGAUCCCCAGCCAUCCUCCAAGGCUCCACACAGACUCCCCCAGUCGCCCCGGAGCCUGCCAGUCCCCUAGUGCUGUGAGAGACCCGUCAGGGCUGCCAAGGCGAUCCCUGAACAGUAGUGGAGACCCCAAACUACCCAAGGCCCAGUCCCUCACUGGAGGUAGGUGGGGAAAUGGAGAUCAAAGUAGGCGCCCAGUGCAUUCAGCCUGUGUGCAGCCACAAAAGCACACAAGGUUUGCCCCUGGAGCAGGGUGGCCAGGCAGACAGUUAAAUUUGUAUUUCCAGGUGACUGUAGCCUGAGGGCCCUUGCAGCGGCCCCUUCCCCGUAUCACUGGCUGUUAUGAACGGUCACCUUCAGGGCAGUGCCGAAUGCCACUGCUGCUCUUUCUUUUCUGGGUUGUUUUGGGCCAGGACAGUUUGGGGUUGAUAGGCCUAUUCUCACAGAGAACCAAGGAUGGUGUUCAGUGACUCACUGGAUGCCAGGGGCCACUGAUGAGCAAGCCACGCUCCAAGCCUUAGAAGAGGUUCACCGUGUCUCCAUUUUCAUUGGCCAUAGGAGUCCAAGGACUACCCCAAAUGUAGGAAUAGGAAUUAUGUAGGUUAUGAAUCCUGACUCACCCUGUGAGGCUUCUCUUUAGAACAGAAGGUGCAGCUACAGUGGCCCUAAGAGUGAGGCCGUGAUUCUGCCACUCCCAGGAGGCCAGUCUUUUGUUGGGGACUGAGGCUCCUGGGAUGCCUGGGGUGUUCCAUCACAACUUUAUCCAAUUCAAGGAUGCUUACUGGCCACUCUGUUAGACACCUUGGAGAGAGAAAGAUAGAAAUGACUCAUCCCCUGCCUGCUGGGAACUCAGAGGUGGUUGGAGAGACAGACACACAAAAAUACUGAAUCAAGAGAGACUGUGAUAAGUGCUAAGAAGGGUGUGAGAGAGGAAGAGAUGAAUUUUCCCUGAAGGGACCCUAGAAAGCAUUGUCAUAUUUCUGUCUCCAUUAGCUCACCUUGAACAACUAGGAUGCUGGAAGAACCUUUGUCUGAAGGUGGUUUAUGGCUGGAAAUACUUGGAACUGUUUCCAGGGUCUUCAAACUCUCAUCCUGCCCACAAAUACACAUCCAAGGUCACAAAUAGGAGUAGCAGUUCCAGGUUGAUAGGGUGUGUACAGGAACCCUGACUCUUUGCAUAUAGCUCAGAAUUGGCCUAGGACCCAUGUCCCAGAGUCUUUAUAAGCACACAGAGUUUGUCUUCAGUGCCUCAGCUUCUCCCUCCACUACGCAUCUUAGGACCCCCACCAGCUGCCCACCCCCAUCAGAGAGCCACAGUACCCUCACUCCCUGUCCCUCAAAGCAUGCUCUCAGGAAAGCAACUGCCACUGACUCCUUCACAGUAAAGUAUACAUGACUGAUAAGAGGAAGGUGUUAUUUCUUCACAGAAACACUGGUUUUUAACUAGAACAGAGCAGAGCCUUAAUCCCAAGGGGGAAAGGCUGUGGAACUAAUGGUGGAGGUGGGGCUGGGGCUAUAGGUGAGGGUGGAUGAGCUUCUUGGGUAGAAAGGGACUUAUUGAUAUUCCCUAAGAAAGACUCAGUGCUUUGGAAGGUCCACCUCACCAUCCAAGGGCACUCUGUUUCUGUCUCUCCUCCCCGCUCCGAGUCUAGUUCAAGUGCAUAUCCACAUGCAUUUCACACAGCAGCAUCACCCAUUUUGGAAUGUAUAUUGGCUAAUGUGUUUCCUGGUCUUUCUUAGAUGCAAACCAUUCAUAACACGAUCUUAUCUGUUUUUUGAGGGGUGCUUAUUGAUUAAGUAGGUAAGUUUGAACACCUCUUUAAAUACAGCUAGAAAAUAAACCAAUUUGUAAAGCCACAUUUGCAUAUGAUGCCAGCCUCACGACUUUGUAUAUCUCCAGAAUCCCAGGUAUGCCUCACCAAUUUGCCCAUCUUUAAUAAACUCAUCUGUUAAAAUCUGCAUCAAACUUCAGCUUCCUACAUAUGACACAACAAGGAACAAAGGGUUCCAAUUGCCCCUUUGUCUUCAGACAUUUAGUAAUACAAAAUACCUAUUUUUAUGCUGAGAUAUUUAUACAGGUUUAUUAAUCGCAAGUGCAACUAACUGGCGGCAUGCCCUGCAACACAUUUUGAAUAGAUUAGCCAUGCUUCUGGGUAAAGGCAAGCCCCACACUACUGAACUUCUGCAGUCUUUCUGGGAUCAGUAAGAGAAAAAAAAUCACAUGCUUAAGAAGUGGGACUGUAAAUAUGUAUAUUUAACUUUGUAUAGUCCAUGUACCUACUUUGUAUAGAAAAAUAAUUUUAAAAAUUUGAACCGAAGGGGGAGUAAGAUAAGGAAGUCAUGAAGUUUUUUUGCACAUUUAAAUGAAGGAAUUCCAAAAUAACUUACCUGCCGAUUUUUAGCCCAAAAAUAGCCCUUGUAAAGUGUUAUAAUUUUAAAUAAUCAUUCUUUCUGGGAGAGAAGGUAACUGUUAUCUCAAUUAUAGUGGUUUUUCUUAUUUUGUUUUUGAUUUUUUUUUUUUGCAGUCCUGUUUAUCUGCAGUAGUAUUAAGGCCUAUUGCUAGAAUAGGUUACCAUAAAAAAUAUAUUCUGAAAGAAAAAUAACUGACAUUAUAUAUAACCAAUUAAAGUAUUGCCAUUUAAAUCAUACACCAAGCGCAUGUACUAUGCAGACACAGAUUUUUCUGUUCAUCUAUUUUCCUUUAUGCAGUGGAUCGAUCUGACAAAUAGAUGUUGAAUUACUACAUCGGCUGUACAUGGUAUUUAAUAAACUUCAUUCAGAAUUGCGUGGCA